rnacentral:rRNA from 1 species
UAACGCUGAGAUACGAUGUCGAGCUACUACGGUAGUGAAGUCAUUGAUGCCAUGCUUCCAGGAAAAGCCUCUAAGCUUCAGAUUGUAAGGAAUCGUACCCCAAACCGACACAGGUGGUCGGGUAGAGAAUACCAAGGCGCUUGAGAGAACUCGGGUGAAGGAACUAGGCAAAAUGGUACCGUAACUUCGGGAGAAGGUACGCUCUUAUCAGUGAAGUCCCUUGCGGAUGGAGCAGACGAGAGUCGCAGAUACCAGGUGGCUGCAACUGUUUAUUAAAAACACAGCACUGUGCAAAAUCGUAAGAUGACGUAUACGGUGUGACGCCUGCCCGGUGCCGGAAGGUUAAUUGAUGGGGUUAGACUUCGGUCGAAGCUCUUGAUCGAAGCCCCGGUAAACGGCGGCCGUAACUAUAACGGUCCUAAGGUAGCGAAAUUCCUUGUCGGGUAAGUUCCGACCUGCACGAAUGGCGUAAUGAUGGCCACGCUGUCUCCACCCGAGACUCAGUGAAAUUGAAAUCGCUGUGAAGAUGCAGUGUACCCGCGGCUAGACGGAAAGACCCCGUGAACCUUUACUACAGCUUGGCACUGAACAUUGAACCUACAUGUGUAGGAUAGGUGGGAGACUUUGAAACCGCGUCGCUAGAUGUGGUGGAGUCGUCCUUGAAAUACCACCCUUGUAGUUUUGAUGUUCUAACGUUGGUCCCUGAAUCGGGAUUACGGACAGUGCCUGGUGGGUAGUUUGACUGGGGCGGUCUCCUCCCAAAGAGUAACGGAGGAGCACGAAGGUGGGCUAAACACGGUUGGACAUCGUGUGGUUAGUGCAAUGGCAUAAGCCCGCUUGACUGCGAGAAUGACAAUUCGAGCAGGUGCGAAAGCAGGUCAUAGUGAUCCGGUGGUUCUGAAUGGAAGGGCCAUCGCUCAACGGAUAAAAGGUACUCCGGGGAUAACAGGCUGAUACCGCCCAAGAGUUCAUAUCGACGGCGGUGUUUGGCACCUCGAUGUCGGCUCAUCACAUCCUGGGGCUGAAGUCGGUCCCAAGGGUAUGGCUGUUCGCCAUUUAAAGUGGUACGCGAGCUGGGUUUAGAACGUCGUGAGACAGUUCGGUCCCUAUCUGCCGUGGGCGUUGGAAAAUUGAAAGGGGCUGCUCCUAGUACGAGAGGACCGGAGUGGACGAACCUCUGGUGUUCGGGUUGUCAUGCCAAUGGCAUUGCCCGGUAGCUAAGUUCGGAAUCGAUAACCGCUGAAAGCAUCUAAGCGGGAAGCGAGCCUUGAGAUGAGUUUUCCCUG